CCUACGGUGGGCUGCAGUGAGGAAUAUUGGUCAAUGGACGGAAGUCUGAACCAGCCAUGCCGCGUGCAGGAAGACGGCUCUAUGAGUUGUAAACUGCUUUUGUACAAGGGUAAACCUGAAUACGUGUAUUCAGCUGAAAUUACUGUACGAAUAAGGAUCGGCUAACUCCGUGCCAGCAGCCGGGGGAAUACGGAGGAUCCAAGCGUUAUCCGGAUUUGUUGGGUUUAAGGGGUGCGUAGGUGGAUUGAUAAGUUAGAGGGGAAAUGCCCGAGCGUAAGGCGGGAAGUGCCUUUGAUACUGCUUAGCUAGAGAGCGGAUGCGGUAGGAGGAAUGUAUGGUGUAGCGGUGAAAUGCAUAGAGAUCACACAGAACACCGAUUGCGAAGGCAGCUUACCAAUCCAUAACUGACGCUGAGGCACGAAAGCGUGGGGAGCAAACAGGAUUAGAUACCCGUGUAGUC
rnacentral:rRNA from 1 species